GUCGGUCUCCAAGAUGGCGGCCGCCUGGCCGUCUGGUCCGUCUGCUCCGGAGGCCGUGACGGCCAGACUCGUUGGUGUCCUGUGGUUCGUCUCAGUCACUACAGGACCCUGGGGGGCUGUUGCCACCUCCGCCGGGGGCGAGGAGUCGCUUAAGUGCGAGGACCUCAAAGUGGGACAAUAUAUUUGUAAAGAUCCAAAAAUAAAUGACGCUACGCAAGAACCAGUUAACUGUACAAACUACACAGCUCAUGUUUCCUGUUUUCCAGCACCCAACAUAACUUGUAAGGAUUCCAGUGGCAAUGAAACACAUUUUACUGGGAACGAAGUUGGUUUUUUCAAGCCCAUAUCUUGCCGAAAUGUAAAUGGCUAUUCCUACAAAGUGGCAGUCGCAUUGUCUCUUUUUCUUGGAUGGUUGGGAGCAGAUCGAUUUUACCUUGGAUACCCUGCUUUGGGUAAGGAAACUGUCACCAGAGAGGUUAAGGGAUUUACUGAGUCUAGAGGCUUUCCUUUAUUCUGUGACAUAUUUGUUGUUAUCAUCUUUGUUUUAUGGAUAGGAAAAUUGUCACGAGAUUAAGAGAUUUACCCAAGGACACUCAGCUAGUGACCUCAAUUUGAACCCAAAUUUUCUGGCUCCAGAGAUCAUGCUUUAUUUACUGUAGUACUCUGCUUCUAUAUUAGCCCUUCACUGAGCAAAUUUAAAGUUUUUGAAUGCUCUGCCUACUAGCUAGCAAAGCUAACCUUAUUUCUUCCAUGUUGCUACCCACAAAAGAUGAAAGAGAAGUCUUCACUGUGGGGUUGAUGGUAGAUAUA
rnacentral:lncRNA from 1 species